GAAAUGUGAUAAGUAGUGUGAAUUGCAGAAUUCAGUGAUUCAUCGAAUCUUUGAACGCACAUUGCGCCCCUCGGUAUUCCGUGGGGCAUGCCUGUUCGAGCGUCAUCUACACCCUCAAGCUCUGCUUGGUGUUGGGCGUCUGUCCCGCCUCCGCGCGCGGACUCGCCCCAAAUGCAUUGGCAGCGGUUCCUUGCCCCCCUCUUUGCGCAGCACAUUGCCAUUCGAGGCGGCGGCGGCCCGCGUCCAACAAGCUCAACCCCCCCGUCUUUGACCUCGGAUCAGGUAGGGAUACCCGCUGAACUUAAGC
rnacentral:misc_RNA from 1 species